CCAAAGUAAAUUGUUUCCUCAGCAACUGUUUUCCUUGGAAACAGUAAAACUCUCCAAAACAGGUCUUUUGCACUGAGAAAUAUCUGCAGCUCGGUGAAAGCCCGCGAGCUCGCCGGGCACUGCCGCCGCAUUUCAAUUUGCACUCGAAAACAAACCUGAAAAAGGCCAGAAACUUCUGGCUCUUCCUUCGUGUGUUGGGCCAGCAGCUCCUUCACGGUUUCCAGGAGAAAAGGCCCGUUUGGGUGAGGUGGGGGUGGGUGGUUUUUUUGGGUCCCGAGGCCCUUUUGAAUACCUGGAUUUGACAAGAUGGAAACACGACCCUCUUAUCUCAAACAGAUACGCGUUUCUCCUGGAAANNNNNNNNNNAAAAAAAAAAAUCUACUGUUAUUUUGAUUUCCCUCCCCUAAACAGGCCCUAGGCGGGGGGAAGCGGCCGGGGGGCCCUCUCCCAGCCUUAGUUCGCCCACCCUGCCCUUCAGUUUGGCCCUUUUCCCCUCACGAAGCCCCUAAUUUCUGUGUCCCCCCGCGCCUGAGAACGGUGGUGAGGGACGAGCGCCCGGCCCGGCCCCGCCCCGGCCUCCCCACCGCCUCCGCGGGCGGCCAGAGGAGCCGGAGGCGGGCGAGGGGCGGGUUAAAAGCGGCGGCAGGUGAAUGGGGAGGGACCUUAAAGCUGCGGGGAGGCGAAGCUGGGACCGGCCGCUCCUCAGGCACCCGCCGGACCCGCGUUGAAGCCCCGCCGGGAGCUCCGGGCGGCGGGGCUGACCUCCCCCUCUGCGGCUUGUGGGCUUUGCUGAGGGCUUUGCAAGUACGUUAUGUGAAGUACCCGGACCAGCUAAAACACCAAGCAAAAUACAGGCUUCUGCAAUUACAGGU
rnacentral:lncRNA from 1 species